CGGCAGCUAGCCAGCGAGUUAUCCGCCUAGCUUCUCGUCUUCACACUCCAAAUGUGGCUUUUUUACCACAAGGACAUUUGGGUUUUAAAACAAACAAGCAAAGCGGUUAGUUUGGAGCUCAUUUUUGUCCCACGGGAAAGCUACAAGUGGCUAUCACGUUCAUGAGUGCGCCAAGGAAAAGGAAAGCCAUCACCAUGGAAGUGAAAACGAACAUCAUAAAAAGCUCUUAUGGUGCCACCCGCUCAACUGUCAAGAAUGCUAAUGAAUGCUAGAGGGGUCAUGGAUUCCGUGCGCUGCUACAAGGAGAUCUGGGAGGAGAAGAGAAAGUUAUGCUUCCAAACGACAAUAGUUUAAGAAGGUAGAAAGGCCUGCAAGACAACCACCGGGAUAAAAUGUGAGUGACUUUAGGCACGAGUUCCGACUUCCAUCAACUCGUUCCUAACCUGAGCACCGCCUGUGAUUUCAGUUCUCUCCUCAAAGACCCACAAAUGCCUCUCAUCCAUAACGUGUAAUAUGUUACAUUAGAGGCUGAUGUCUUAUUACACUUGCACAAUGCACAAACUUGUCCAUUUUCGCCUCUAAAGUCAGGCGUAAUGUCGGCAAAACAUCAGCGUCCCUCACGAGACCUCACAUCAAAGGCUUAACUGCACAGCUUGUACUUUUUCUUUGGCUUUUUACUUGCACAUUUACAGCCCUCCCUCGUCCAUGGCGGUUAAUUGGUUCCAGACCCGACUGCAAUAGGUGAAUUUCCACAAAAUAGGAUUCAACAUUCAUAAGUGGAAUAUUUUCGUAUAUAGAAUUUUUUUUUUACGAUCUUCUAAAAACGUUUUUUUUUACCAUUAUUAGAGCCCUCUAGACAUGAAGUAACACCCUCACAGUCACUUUUAUAUAUAAUAGAUAUAAUCUGAGAAAAUAAGACAUAUUAGACAUAAAUAAGACAUAACAUAAAUUCACACGUUAGCACUGGGAGAGCUCCUUGUUGUUUUUUUCUGGACAGCGUACUUCCUUCGGUGGCUAUUGUCUCAUCAAUGUAUUGUAAUGGCAACUUUAAAUGGCUUCGCACUCAUACUAACCAAUAUAGUUGACAUAAUAAGAGUAAAUAAACCAUUUAAGACGUAAAUAAAAACUCCUGCUCGUGUGUCACAGUAAAUGUGGUGACUAAAUGUGGGAAGUGAGGUGUCAGAGGUUCAGAGUUAGGUUUUAUCUUGCCGUAGGUUGUGGCCCCAACAGUAGCCCGCCUUGUUAUUAUGAUUAUUAUGUUGCCAUUAUUGUGCCUGUUGUGAGAUGAUUUCAAACUGCAACAAAUGCCUGUUCUAGCGAUCACGUCUAUAGCUUUGCUCACCGAACAAUUACUGACACCUAGUGGCCAGUGUAGAAUACUACCUUCACAAUUAGAAUGCUUCUUCUGCCUUGUAUUUGUAUGUUAGUUCAUUUAGUGUUCAUUUAGCCCUUUCUAUAACUGUAAAUGCUUAAUUUACACCAGGAAUAAGUCCAAUUUGCUUAAAUGCAUGUUUUGUUUUGUUUUUUACUCAUAAUAGGCCGUAUUCAACCACAAAACAGCGAUCAUCGUUAGGGGUGGGGGUUCAUGUCCAGUUCGGCCCACAACCUAAAGUAGGCUUUGAGUUUUGGUCCCCUGUGCAAUUGAGUUAACACCCCUGCUUUAAAACGUUGCCAGUAGGGUUUAUAAAUGAUGUGUGAUGAUUGUGAUGGUGAUGGUCUGACUAUACAUUACAUUAGUGGAUGACUUCUUUCUACACAUGAGGCGCGUCUGACUUUUAUUACAACUUCUCUAGUCUAGUCAACUAGUCAUCCCUCGUUUAUCGUGGUUAAUUGGUUCCAGACCCGUCCCAGAUAGUGGAAUUCAAUAUUAAUAAAUGGAAUAUUUUCGUAGUUCGUGCAUAGAAAACCUGUUUAUGACUUUGUAAAUACAGUUUUAACAUUAUUAGAGCCCUGUAGACAUGAAAUAACACCCCAAUAGUCAUCUUGACACUGCCAUUAUUCUUUGUUUACAUUGGCCACCGCUAGCAUAGCAAGCUACCGAGCUAACUAGUUAGCUUUUCCAGUUUACUCAUUCUAAACUAAAGAAAGUGUUUCAAAUUGGUAAUAGUUUUAAUUUUAUUUGAACAUGCAUACAAGUUACAGUGGAAUACAUCACUAAGCACACAGUUCCACAUGCCCAAAAGGAGGAGGAAGAAGCAAUGCUUAUUUAAGCCGUUUGACAUCUGUUGCUGUAUUGCGUGUGAUCUUUUUCAGUACAUACAAAAGUGAUAAGUCAUGUAUCAAUGUGGUAAUAUAAAUGUCUGGGUUUUUCCACAAUCAUAAUAAAUAAUAAUCAUAUACAAUAAUCAGUAGAAUAAUAAAUAAAUCUAAAAAAGACAGAACAGAACAAGUUCAAGACUCUUCUUCCUUGUAUUUUGCAAACAACUGCUUGUAUUGCUUCUUAAAAUCGCUCA